GAUUAACGCUGGCGGCAUGCCUAAUACAUGCAAGUCGAACGGAAGCAGCAAUGCUUUAGUGGCGAACGGGUGAGUAACACGUAGGGAACCUACCUAUACGACGAGGAUAACUACUGGAAACGGUAGCUAAAACUGGAUAGGAUCAAUUGAGGCAUCUUGAUUGAUUUAAAGAUCCUUCGGGAUUACGUAGAGAUGGCCCUGCGGCGCAUUAGCUAGUUGGUGAGGUAACGGCCCACCAAGGCGACGAUGCGUAGCUGAGCUGAGAGGCUAAACAGCCACACUGGGACUGAGACACGGCCCAGACUCCUACGGGAGGCAGCAGUAGGGAAUUUUCGGCAAUGGGGGAAACCCUGACCGAGCAAUGCCGCGUGAACGAUGAAGGUCUUCGGAUUGUAAAGUUCUGUGAUUGGGGAAGAAAAGGCGGGCUCUAACAUAGCCCGUUGCUGACGGUACCGACAGAAGAAGCACCGGCUAACUACGUGCCAGCAGCCGCGGU
rnacentral:rRNA from 1 species